GCCUCGGCUAGGUCAGUUGGUGUUUCUGUGUGCAGUUUGCUUGUUCUCCCAGCAUUCGUGUGGGUUUCCUCCAGGUGCUCCAGUUUCCCUCACAGUUCAAACACAUGCGCUAUAGGGGAAUUGAUGCACUAAAUUGACCAUAGUAUGAGUGUAAAUGAGUGUGUAUGGAUGUUUCCCAGAGAUGGGUUGCAGCUGGAAGGGCAUCCGCUGCGUAAAACAUGUGCUGGAUAAGUUGGCAGUUCAUUCCGCUGUUGAGACCCCGCAUCAAUAAAGGGACUAAGCUGAAAAGAAAAUGAAUGAAUGAACUUUGUCAUAAUGUUGAUGGAAGAUGUUUUUAGAACAAAGUUCUUGGAACGUCUUCAUGAAGUUAUUUGUUCUCAGGGAUGGGCAUAAAAUUUUGUAUCGAAAUACUUCAGUGUCUUGUAUUUUUGUCAUUUCAAAAUAACGUAAAAUACUUUGCAAGAUGUUUACAGUACAUGAUUACAUCUUAAAAAGGAGGCCUCUGAUCACUUGCCUAUAAGCUUGUAAUCAGAAGAAUCACCUUCUAAAUCACCUUCUAUUUUUAGAUGGUGGUCAAUGAUUCAAGUAUGAAUGGAAAUUAUGCUAAAAAGAAAGUAACAGACAAAUGGCAAGGGUAUAUUCAGGAGCAAGUCAGCACACAUUGAAAAUAGCAGGUGAGCAAUGCUAAGACCAGAGAUAAUGGCUGUAUAGUGUACAAUUCAGCAUCUUUGCUUAAGAAAUUAGAUGGAAUAAUAAAUAUCUUAAAAACAGGAUUUGGAGCUUCUAAACAUCAAUCAGUCAAUAUCUGACAUUGUGCUUUAUAUUCAUACGCUAUACACAUUUUAUGUGCUGU
rnacentral:lncRNA from 1 species